CGGGAAUCAUGUCGCAGCCGCACUUUUCACGCCGAGCGCAGCCGUCGUGCGGUGGUUUAACGCAGAGCCGGAGUGAGCGGUCGACGCGGCGCAGGGAAGUCAGCUUCGCGUUGCGGCUCAGCGAACCGGUUAAACCUGUGUAAAGGCUGUGCGGACGCACUACCAAUGUGAGGCGCACUUCACUCUCGGUGGCUGAAGAUGGAAACCGGACUGAAUCUCUUCACUGCAGCCGGAUGAAACCGAAGCUCCUGCUCCGCUUUGACACUUUUAACAAGCACUAUUAUGUCAAGAGACAACGACGGUCCACUAUUGUAGUUAAACAGGUGAACCAGAUAAACAGGUUAUAGCAGGUCUGCAGGUUAGCUUUAAUUACAGAACGUAGCCUACGGCUCACCUGCCCCCUAGAAACGAUGACAGCAAGUGUUACAAGUGAUUGUUGUUGCAGCCUCAUGCUUCAACACAAGAACUGAAACUGAAAGAUUUAGUCCCUACAUUAUGAAGGAUGGACGAGUUGAUGGCUGCAUGGUGCCAGUGUCAGAUAAAUCUGUAAUUAAUCAGUCCAUCCAUGUAAUAAUUAACCCAGUCUCUGUUUGAGUGAUCCCUCGGUAAAAGAGGAAAUGUACAGGUCCAUGUUGUGCAGGUUUGCACUCCGCCCAUGCUCAGCCCAUAUUUACACUUCAUUUACCACACCCACCAUUCAUCUCUUCCUGCUUUGAAUGAUGUAAACUACUCCCUGCAUUAAAGCCAUUGUUUAUUAGGAAGGUGGAGCUGGCAUCUUUUUUUAGAGAUGCCCUUUACAUUUGAUAGUCUUUCUAAAACAUGAGUUUUCUGGUGUAGUGGGUCACAUGUCUAAUUACACGUUAAACAGGUCCACUGUAGUUUCAUACAGGGGUCCAGAGGACAUCUUCUAGUUACUUCUGCUUUGCUACAAAUCAAUAAUGACACAAGAUUCAGGCGUUAACCUGAGUAUUUAUUGUUGCUGUUGUUUUUGAUGGGUACCUGUGUUUUCUGGAUGGAUUCUGGAAAACCCAUCCAUGGACUUUUGCAUAGGUCUGGCCUGUAAGUGGACGCCGAUCCACUUUGGGGAUGGAACAUUUGUAAGUCACAAAAACCAUGCAGAAAUAGUGAAAGGCACAAUCACCAUAGAUAUCAGAUACACCAUGUUUUAUAAAUCUACAUAUUUCAUUUUUUUUCUGGGGGUGUGCACUAAUAGAGAUGUAAUAUGGAUGAAACCCCGUGUUUUGCAGCUGCCAUCAUUUUAGGGCACAAGAAAAAAAGAAAGAAACUCCCCAGACAUUCACUGCCUUUCAAAAUGUCCUAUUAUUGAACAACUCUUCUAUUAACUAUAAGGGAAAAUACAAGCAUAUUCUACUGUAUUUUAUGAUACAUUUAAUUUUUUUUUGUAUAUAAACUGUCUGUCUCCUGCCUCGUAAUUCCUCUGUCCACUUCCCUUGCGUCAUUUAGGCUCCAAACAUUAAGUGACCAUUUCCACUCUCCAAUACUCGAUGACUUCAGCUUUUAAACCACAGCUGUCAAUAAUCACACACAAAGGAGAACACCUUUUUCAUUUUACAUGACACUGGUGAGAAAGCAAGCAUACGAAAACUGAGGAAAACAGAACAGGUUGGUGGAGACAGAACGAUCUGUGGGGCGAUAUUUACAUUUUUCACACACACAUCCACCUGAGAUCUCUCAUUACCCUGUGUUCAGUGUGUGUGUGUUUUCACUUGAACAGGUAAAUAAACAUCUACCUGCUGUAUGAGGCAUGAACGGAAUCCCCGGUGAUGUGGCCGAUCCUAAAUAUCAGAGAUCACUGUGUGUAUGUGUGUGAACUCAUGUGCACUCACCACCUCAGACCCGUCUCCUGCACCUCUCAGAGGAAUCAAAUAUAAACAUAAUAGUUUAUCUUUAAACAAACAAAGACACAUUCAAUUAUAAGUUAUCUCUCUAAGUUAUAUCUCGAAAAAAAUCAUUAAAGAAUAAUUGUUAGAAAUAAAACUAACUGUGGUAUAUGAUUCAAGGGUAAAUAACUGAUUGUAAAUGGUUUCAGUGAGACAAAUCAUCCAAAUCAAUCCUUUGUCCCGGACCACUGCACUGGACCCUCCAUUCAGCCGGUGCCGUGCUGAGGAGACCCUCUGGAGGGCAGUGUUUGCCUGUGCACACCAACUCUGGCUGCACUGCUGCUUCUACAGGCCAGAACCGGGCACCACUUAGAACCCUCUUGGUUGACAACGAACACACACGUGAGGCAGAUCAGUCCCAUUGGACACAACAAACAUCGUGGACUCAAGUCCUGAGAGGCUUUGACAUCUAACAAAGCAUAAUAAAUUGUUUUGCACUAUUUACAAGAGAAAUAAAUGACUCAUAUGCAUGUUUUUUAAAAGAAUCUCUACAAUUCAACUUGACAGUACACCUUCUCACGCAGAAUCAAUCAAAAGAAAGAAAGAAAAAAAUGAAAACCACAAAAGAAAAACAGGAGGGGGGAUUAAACCACACACACACACACAGCACGCUGCUAAAACUCACAAACUGUAUGACAGUGCAAACUUACAUCCAUGUCUCAAAUAAUUUACAAACAUUAGUAUAUACUUCAGCACCAUUUUGACUAUUGUUGUUGAAUAAAUAUCAAUAAUCUAGAUCUUUAAGUGGACGUGGAUGUGCUAACAAGACAGACAAGGAUGGAGUAGAUGUUAAAAGCAGUUCAUAGAAGCUUUUGAACAUGUUGCAGGUGGAUGGUUGCUGGGAUGUUUCACCCCGUUUCCUUUAACAGAAGCCUCCUGGGAGGUCAUUCAUUUCUAAAGAAAAGGGACCAACGUGGAAAUGAACAGAUCACAGCAGCCGUCGUGGAUGCUGGGCGCGUCGCUUAAGUUUACAGACACAUUUAGUUGUCGUCAUGCUGUGUAUUAUCACAGGAAGCGUGUGCUUUCUCUUUGUCUGACAGGAACCAGCUUUCUUUCCUUUCCCUGAACCACAGAGAGAGACAUUAAAAAUAGCAGAAAAUAGAGUAACAAAACAAAAUAAAGAGUUUCCAUCGAUACCGCUCUUCACUUACUGUAACCUACCGGACCCUGUAACCCAGAGGCAGGCGCUUUAAAUUUACAACCCUUCUCAUUAUGGACAGUAUCUCUGUUUUCAUCUUGAAAAAAAACCCCACCCAGAAAACAUUUGAUAUGCAAAGUAA